rnacentral:rRNA from 1 species
AGUGAACGCUGGCGGUAGGCCUAACACAUGCAAGUCGAACGGCAGCACAGUAAGAGCUUGCUCUUACGGGUGGCGAGUGGCGGACGGGUGAGGAAUACAUCGGAAUCUACUUUUUCGUGGGGGAUAACGUAGGGAAACUUACGCUAAUACCGCAUACGACCUACGGGUGAAAGCAGGGGAUCUUCGGACCUUGCGCGAUUGAAUGAGCCGAUGUCGGAUUAGCUAGUUGGCGGGGUAAAGGCCCACCAAGGCGACGAUCCGUAGCUGGUCUGAGAGGAUGGUCAGCCACACUGGAACUGAGACACGGUCCAGACUCCUACGGGAGGCAGCAGUGGGGAAUAUUGGACAAUGGGCGCAAGCCUGAUCCAGCCAUACCGCGUGGGUGAAGAAGGCCUUCGGGUUGUAAAGCCCUCUUGUUGGGAAAGAAAAGCAGCAGGUUAAUACCCCGCUGUUCUGACGGUACCCAAAGAAUAAGCACCGGCUAACUUCGUG